UUUCAAUGCUAUAAAUAACAGGAUAGAUUGUUUGUAGUAUAUCACAUAUAUAUCCCUUCAUCACUAACAAACUAGUACUAUUAUUUUUAAAGGCAUCUUAGAAAUGGCUCAAAUAUAUCAUUUUCGUCCCUACAACAGGCCGAUAGAAUUAGCAAUGCCGGUAACUAGCCUCUGUUUGAAUAGAGAGUUAGAAAAUGAUGACGACGACGAUGAUGAUGGAAAAAAAGUGGCACCUGCAGCGUAACGUUAGUUCAUGUGUUUCCGUUAUAAAUAGGAAUCCUUGUUUAAGUCUUUCUAAGUACUUGAUCUUCUAUAUAUGAUAAUUUAAGUGUCUUUCUUUUCUCUUCGAAUUGUAUUAAAUAGAGUGUCUCUUUUCUAAGUCUUUCUAAGUAUUCCUUAUAUAUCUAAUUUAAGUGUCUUACUUUUCUCUUUGAUAUGUAUCAAAUAUAUAUAGUGUUUCUUUCUAUAUUUAACUCUUAAUUUCUAAGUACUUGAUCUUUUGUAUCUGAUAAUUUAAGUAUCUUACUUUUCUUUUUGAUAUGUAUUUAAAUAGAGUGUUUCUUUCUAUAUUAAGUAUUUCUAAGUACUCUUGUUGUAUCCAAUUUAAGUGUCUUACUUUUUUCUUUAAUUUGAUUGUAUCAAAUAUAUAUAUAUAUAUAUAUAUAUAUAGUGUCUCUUUCUAUAUUUAAGUCUUUCUGAGUACUCCUUAUGUCUCUAAUUUAAGUGUCUUAUUUUUCUCUUUGAUACGUAUUAAAUAGAACUAGUUCUCGAACACGUGUGUUGCACGUGCAUCUACGCACGUGUAUGUCAUACUAAUCAGUAUUAAUGUUUAGAAAUGAUAUAAAUAAUACUGAAGUAUGUAUGUGAUGAAUAUCAUAGGAGAAAAAUACAAGUACAAAUUGAUAAAUGAUUUGCCACAAUUUGUUCACCAACUCUUUUUUGUGUGAUACCUCAAAUUUCGUUGAACUUCGAACUUAUUCAACUGUUGCAAAUCACACUUGAGAUUUUUUAAGAAUAAGAAGAGUAGAAAAGUUAAAAAAAAUUGUAGUUUAAAAAUGAGAGAAAACUCAUAUAUUUAUAGCUAACAAAUGGUAGUAUAAAUAGCUAGGUGCUAAUUGUGUCUUAUUAAUUAGAAAAGUCACAACCCGUCGAAAAAGUUACAGCUCAUCAGAAAAGUCACAACCUUUGAAAAAGUCACAAUCCUUCGAAAAGUUACAACCCUUAGGGAAAGUCACAAUCCUUUAAAAAAGUCGCAACCUUUCGAAAAAGUACAAUCCUUCAAUGUAAAAAAGGUUUCUAUUUUAAUAUAAUAUAAUUAAUAAAUAUAAAAUAUACUAAAUUGAGUGUUUUUACUUGGGGAUAUUAUAGUAAUUUAAUAUUCAAGUUUGGAAGUUCAUACUUUAUAUAUAUAUAUAUAUAUAUAUAUAUAAAUAGAUAAUUGAAUCGUUUAAAGGAUUACGCGCAUCCUUAAUUUAAAAUCACAAGAUUUCAAAAUCUUUUUUUAUUUCGUAAAUUUAUGUUUAAUUAAAUUAAGAUAUUUAAAUUAAGACGAAAAAUAUACUAAUUAAUGUAGUGGCAUGAAUCUACUACCUAAACAUGUAAUUCUCAUGAUUUUUACAAGGUUGUGUGUAAUUUAAUUAGGUUCAGGUGCAUUUGCAAAUUGUGGUACUUUCUCGUCAGAUUUCUAACUGUAGGCGUAGACAAAAAAUUCAUUAAGAGAGUUUAAAAAAAAAAAUCGAUAGUAAUAACAAAUGAACGAGUCAAAUUAGAUAUAACCAGAUUAGACAAACUACGAAUAAUAUAUCCGACCCAACCAUAUUUCAUAUGGAUUAACGAAUAUAGAAUGAGUGACGGAUAAAUAUAUAUAUGUCUUCGUAUUAUUCAAUAUUUAUGACUUUUUGAAUAAUUGUAAUGUUGGAAAAAUUCCUAUAUAGUCAAAUCUUCAACAUUGACCAUUUAUUGCAAUAAAAUACUGCUACCAUAGCCACAAAAUAUCCCUCGCAGGUAGUUGGUUUUCGAUGCUCAAUGUCAUUUCUUCCGCAACAAAAAAACUUUUUACCAGCAAUAAAUAUAUAUAUUAAAAAAGUCCUAGAAUAUUUAUCAGUAUUAAUUAAUUGUCAUUAAAUUUAAUAUCGUUAUAAGUUUUAGGAAUAUCGAACAUUUAUAAAGAAUAUUAUUUACCUUUAAAAACUAUUUAUAGUAGCAAUUAAAUUAUUUUUAUUAAUUAAUUACCGCUAAAUAUUAUAUUUGGUGUGAUGUCCAUAGUAGGUGCAAUUUGUGUGUACCUUGUCUCAAUGAGUAAGGAAUUUAUUUAAAAUUGUAUUUGAGUUAUAAAAAGAAAUAUAAGUUUUCAAAUGAAAAAAUAUAUCCUAUAUAACUAACUCAAUGAAGGAAUAAAUUGUCUCAUAUAUAGCAAUUCUCAAUUAUCAGUCAACAAUUCAAUUAAGAAUUUAUUCCAAACUUUAUAAUAUUAUAACUUCAAUUUAACAAUCUCAGUAUCAUGUUUAAUAAAUGUUCAAUUAAUUUGGUCUGUCUGUUAGGUUGAUAAGAAGAGUACUUGGAGACCAAAAUACCCCAAAUCCUAACUCUUACCUAUAUAAAGGGAUUUUUCUAAGAUCAAAGAAACAAAGAAGAAAUACAUAUCUAUAGAGAAGCUCUGCUCUUUUAUGGUGAUCUGCAAGUCUUUCGCAUACAAAGAGAAGUCUUUGUGCAAGUUUGCAUACCUCCACGAUUAUGACCAAAACUUGGUUCCAUAUUUGUGAUGAAGUUUCAACAAGUAUUCUAUCGAUUCAAGAACAAAGCAAAGCAACGAUCUUCAAGUAGAUUAUCUAGAAAAAGCAGUUGACUCUUAAAUAAAUGGGGAAUUUUCGCAUAUAUAGCCACUUAAAAAUAGUUUAAUUAUUCUUCAUAGCUAUAGUUUGUUAAUUGCAAUUUGAAGCUACAUGUUAGAGGUAGGAUAGAGGCGAGCGAGAUUGGGAGAGGGAGGAGGGGCGAGUGAGAGAUGGCAGAGAGUAGAGAGAGACGAAUUGUAUAUAUAAAUCUAUCAAAUAAUUGUAUAUAUGUAACUGGUAUACAUAUGUGUUUGUAUAUCUAGCAAGCGAGAUUAGGAGAGGGAGGAGAGAAGUGAGCGAGAGAGGGCAAAGAGUGGAGAGAGGCGAACUGUAUAUGUAUAUAUGUCAGAUAAAUUGUAUAUAUGUAAUUGGUAUACAUAUGUAUUUGUAUAUUUGGCGAGCGAGAAUUAGAGAGAGAGAAAUGAGAGAGGAGAGAGGCGAGCGAGAUUGGGAGAGGGAUGAGAGAGGGCAGAGAGUGGAGAGAGGCUAAUUAUAUCUAUAUAUCCGUCAUAUAAUUGUAUAUUUAUAUGUGUAAUUUAUAUUUGAUAAUUUGUAUUUGUAUAUGUAUAAAAGAGGAGAGAGGCGAGAGAGAAGAAGAGAGGAGAGAGGCGACGAAAAUAUAGCUAAAAUAAAGCUGCAAGACGUAAUUAAUUCAAAUUAUAGCUAUGUAAAUUAACUAGUAUAUGUUUGCUUAUCCGCAUAAUUUUUCCUUAAAUAAAUAACCUAGCAACAAAUUAUCUUCUAUGACUUCUAAUUCAUAAAAAAAACAAAUUACAUGACCAGAAACAAUUAUUAAAACAUAAAGACUUGAAACUACUAACACAUAUUUCUAAAGUGUUAUUUUUGCACAUGCUCAACUUCCCAUAGAUAGCUAUCAAUCCUUACAGAUUGAUCUCAUACAAAUGAAAACUUUAAGGCAUAAGCAAAGGAAGUAUUGACUGUAUUGUUUUGUAUAGAAUUGAUCCGGUUAAGAUAUUAUAAUUAAUUUUACUUAUCAAGUUGAACUUGUAUAUUUGUGCAAAAUUAUAUUUAUAUAGUUUUUAUUUAAAUCUUAUUUUUUGUGGAGCAGCUAUUGGCUGCGAUUUGAAACGGUGGACCGAGCUUAAUCUCCCCGCAGCUCUUAAUUUUAUUCAUUAAUUUAAAGAUUACAUCUGACAUCACUAUACGGUGAUAAAUUUAAAAACAACACACAUCUUUCUAAAGUGAGAAACAAAUAGAAAGGAAAUGCUUAGUCCACUAACAAAUAUAACAUAUUAUUAACAGCUUAGUAAAAUUCUUGAAAAGAAAAAAACGGAUUUUUUUUUUUUUUGAAGUUUGCCAAUAUUGGUUACAAAUAAAAUAAUUUAAAAAUUAUUAUAAUUUUCCUUUUUUUUUUUUUUUUUUUUUUUGCAUGUCUUUGUCUUUUGACUAGCUUUGACUAUAUUUUCCUAUGUGGCAAAUUAAAGCGUGUGCAUGAAAGGGAAUAAGUACGUGUAGAUUGUGAAAAUUUUUUUUUUUUUUUUUUUUUUUUUUUUUUUUUGCAUGUCUUUGUCUUUUGACUAGCUUUGACUAUAUUUUCCUAUGUGGCAAAUUAAAGCGUGUGCAUGAAAGGGAAUAAGUACGUGUAGAUUGUGAAAACCAAACAUCUUCCAUGAGCUUACCUCAUGUCAUUCCAUUUCCUCAAUAUUGUUUAUGUGUACACUAAGUCACCAAUCCACCCUCUCACAUUUUCCUCUCAUCUUUUCUAAAUUUUCACUCAUUUUGUGCAAAAAGCAAAUCUCAAAAAGUUAAAAGAUUCAAAUAACCUUUUAUCAAAAAUGAUUUUUAGUGGCAAUGAUUUAAUUAUCACUUUAGAGGUAGUUGCUAGAGACAAUUACAUUUUAGCAUUUUUUGUAAUGACACUAAAGUCUAUAGCUAUAUUGAAUCUAAUGGCAAUGCUGGAGUGCAUAUUUAAUGCUGCUAAAAGCUGAUUUUGUUGUAGAUGCAUGAUAGGCUGACAACUCUCUUUAGAAAGUAACAGCUCAAUAUUUUCUCCAAAUGUCACUCAUUCUGUUGCUAUAAAUACUAGGACAAAGAGGAGGAGCUGGUAUCACCCUCAUAACUAAUUAACAACUAGGUCUUAAUAUUUAAGUUUUUAUUUAUUUCAAAUUAAAAUGGUGAUUGUGAAGGGAAAUGCAUCGUCUUUUCGCCCCGAAAGGAUGGAAGCAAGGCUUGUGAUUAGCUUCUGUUUGAAUAGAAAGUAUGAAGGUGAUGAUGACGACGACGAUGACGGAAAAAAAGUGGCACCUGCAGCAUAAUUUCAUAGUAUGUUGCUUUGAAACCAUGAAGCCAGUCAUGACGGUCAAGUUAAUUAGCACUUGUGUUCUCCUUUAGUCUUUCUAUUAAUUAAAAAAAUAUAUACUAUAGUAGUGAUGACAAUGAGAUAAUAUGUAGUGUUUUCUCAAUUAGCAAGGUUUGGGUCGAUUCAAUAAUAAUUGUGUACUUAUUUUAUGAUGUGAAAUAAAAAUUACAAAUUAAUUUAUGUAAUAUUAAUAGAGUCAAAUUUUAUUAAUCAAUUUUCUAUUCCUAGAGCAUAGCAUAUCCAUGCAAAAAAUGACUAUUAAAGAAUAAUAUUAGGAAUAUUAGGCAAAACUUUUCAAUUUAUUGUCUUCUUUUUCUCAUUAUAUCAGCAAUAGAUCUUUUUAUUAAUUUAGGAGUUAAUUAUAUAUCUAGAACUCCAAAUAUUUCAUAUCAAAAUUGAACCAUGUUUUAAAUUAUACACCAUUUGUUAAUUAAUCUUACGAUUUAAAAAAAAAAAAAAACGCCAUCACCAGGAUCGUGAGCCCUUAGCCUGGGAUUAGGCUUGACUCCUAUCAUAUCUAUUCGUUCAAAAAAAGAUACAAAGUUAGAGAGGGACAAGAUCAUACCUCUAACAAAAAAAAUCAACUACAAAAAAUAUUUUCAAAAAAGAGCAAUAAUGGAAAAAUAGCAUUUUAUUGAUGCUCUAAAAUAUUUUUCUUUAAGAGGUGCGUCAUAAUCCAACAAUUUACUUAAUAUGGACUAAAGAAAUAGCGUUUUUUUUCUCCAUCUUAGCUACCUUUAGAUUGAAGCUUAUUGCUCCCCUCUUUCCUUUUGCAUCGUCUUGUAAUUAGAGGUAAGAUUUAAUCCCCUUUUGUAUUCUUCUACUUAAAUAAUAUAUAUAAAAAAAAAGUAAAAGGAGGGAGGUAGAAACUAACUUAUCAAGAGUUGGUGGUUCAAUUUAUCGCUAUAAUAUCUUUCGCAUCAGAUAUGUACUUUAUGACGCUUUUAAGUGAGAUUAUCAUGUUCAAUAUCAUGAUAUGUAUAUUUUAUUUACAUUUGAUGCAUAAAUAUCACUACUUAAAAAUAGCUGAAAAACGACGGUCAAAAGUAACAGAAAAAUGACGCAAUCACUUUUGUCGCUUUUGUCUUUAACGCUUUUCAAAAAGCGAUGGACGGUGUCAUACAAAACGAGGAAUGUGUCGUUAUUGUUAUUUAACUUAUUUAAAAAAAAAUGAAAUAAGCAACGUCGUUUGUCGCUUUCUUCAAUGUGAUAGAACUAGCUAGCAAGGCCGGUAAUUAGCUUAUGUUUGAAUAGAGAGUUUGAAAGUGAUGAUGAUGGAGCAAAAAUGGUACUUGUAGCGUAACGUUAGUUCAUGUGUUUCCGUUAUAAAUAGGAAUCGUUAUUUAAGUCUUUAUGAGUACUUUUUCUAUAUCUAAUUAAAUGUUUUACUUUUCUCUUUGAUCUCUAUUAAAUAGAGUGUUUCUUUUUAUAUUUCAGUCUUCCUUUUGUAUCCAAUUUUAGUGUUAUAGUUACUUUUAUGUUUGAUCUGUAUCAAAUAGAGUGUCUCUUUCUAUAUUUAAGUCUUUAAUUUUUAAGUAUACUUCUCCAAUUUAAAUGUCUUAGUUUUUUCUUUGAUCUAUAUCAAAUGAGUGUCUCUUUCUAUAUUUAAGUCUUUAAUUUCUAAGUAUACUUCUCCAAUUUAAGUGUCUUAGUUUUUUCUUUGAUCUUUAUCGAAUAUAGGUCUCUUUAUAUGUUCAAGUCUUUUUAAGUACUCCUUCUGUCUCCAAUUUAAGUAUCUUACUUUUCUGUUUGAUAUGUAUUAAAUAGAGUGUCUUUUUUCUAUAUUUAGAAAGUAUUUCAAUUUCAAGAUUGUACAUGACAAAUUUAAGACCACUAAAUCAUUUAAAAGACUAUACGCAUCGUUAAUUUAAAAUCACAAAAUUUAAAAGUUUAUUUUACUAACUAGUUUUGACCAUAUAUUUCUAUGUGGCAAAUCAAAGAGUGUGCAUGAAAGGGAAUAUGUAUGUGUAAGAUCGUGAAAGCCAAACAUCUUCCAUGAGCUUACCUCAUGCCAUUUCAUUUCCUCAACAAUUAAUGUGUAUGUGUCCACAAAUUCACCAAUCCACCCUCUCACAUUUUCCUCUCAUCUUUUCUAAUUUCACUCAUUUUGCAAAAAGCAAAUCUCAAAAAGUUAAAGGAUUCAAACAACCACUCCAUCAAAAAUGAUUUUUAGCUGCAAUUAUUAGUGACAAUUUCAUCUUAGCACUUUUUGUAAAUGCUGCUUAAUUAAAGCCUAUAACAACAUUGAAUCUAAUGGAAAUGCUGAUAUAAAGAUUUUAGCACUCUUUGUUGUGCAUAUUUAUUAACGCUAAAAAUUGAGUAUUAAAAAUGCAUGCAGGCCUAUAACUCUCUUUAGAAAGUAAUGGGUCGAUAUUUUCUCCAAAUGUCAUACAUUCCAUUGCUAUAAAUACUAGGACUAAGAGGAGGAGCUAGUAUCACCCUCAUCAGUCAUCACUAAUUAAACACUAGGGCUUUAUAUCUAAGUUUUUAUAUUGUUCAAAUUAAAAUGGUGAUUGUGAACAGGAAUACAUCGCCUUUGCGUCCCUUCAGGGUAGAAGCAAGGCCUAUAAUUAGCUUCUGUUCGAAUAGAGAGUUUGAAGGUGAUGAUGAUGGAGCAAAAGUGGCACCUGCAGCGUAAC
rnacentral:lncRNA from 1 species